GUGUCAGCAGCCGCGGUAAUACGGAGGGAGCAAGCGUUACUCGGAAUUAUUGGGCGUAAAGGGCGCGUAGGCGAUUUGAAAAGUCUUGUGUGAAAGCCCCGGGCUUAACCCGGGAAGUGCACAAGAAACUGUUGAAUUUGAGUUCCGGAGAGGAAGGCAGAAUUCCCGGUGUAGCGGUGAAAUGCGUAGAUAUCGGGAGGAAUACCAGUGGCGAAGGCGGCCUUCUGGACGGAUACUGACGCUGAGGCGCGAAAGCCAGGGGAGCAAACGGGAUUAGAUACCCCAGUAGUCC
rnacentral:rRNA from 1 species